rnacentral:ncRNA from 1 species
AGGGUAGAGGCGCAAUAUUUAAUAGUACUAUUGAUGAGAUAAGCACUAUGACUCAAUAGGAAAGGAAAUAUUGCCGAAGCAUACAACUGAUGCUUUAAAGUUGUAUAGCUGGGGUUGCAUAAAAUAUGUGUAACACUGUCACAAAUAAUGUUUGUGGUGAGCUAUCAUU